AGUGAACGCUGGCGGUAGGCCUAACACAUGCAAGUCGAACGGCAGCACAGUAAGAGCUUGCCCUUACGGGUGGCGAGUGGCGGACGGGUGAGGAAUACAUCGGAAUCUACUUUUUCGUGGGGGAUAACGUAGGGAAACUUACGCUAAUACCGCAUACGACCUACGGGUGAAAGCAGGGGAUCUUCGGACCUUGCGCGAUUGAAUGAGCCGAUGUCGGAUUAGCUAGUUGGCGGGGUAAAGGCCCACCAAGGCGACGAUCCGUAGCUGGUCUGAGAGGAUGAUCAGCCACACUGGAACUGAGACACGGUCCAGACUCCUACGGGAGGCAGCAGUGGGGAAUAUUGGACAAUGGGCGCAAGCCUGAUCCAGCCAUACCGCAUGGGUGAAGAAGGCCUUCGGGUUGUAAAGCCCUUUUGUUGGGAAAGAAAAGCAGCAGGUUAAUACCCCGCUGUUCUGACGGUACCCAAAGAAUAAGCACCGGCUAACUUCGUG
rnacentral:rRNA from 1 species